AUCUUUUAAAAAAUAUUAAAGGCUUUAUUGACAUAUAAUCAAUGUACCAUGCAAUUCUUCCAUUUACAAGUAAAAUUCAGUGGUUUUUAAAUGCAGUUACCAAGUGCAACCUUCAUUUCAAUUAAUUCAAGAACAUUUUCAUCACCACCCAGAGAAAUUCUGCACCAUUCUACUGUCUCCCAAAGUCCAGUCCCUCUCUCCAAGUCCCAGCCAACCACUGUUCCGCUUUCUUUGUAUUUAGUACGUCUAUAUAUUCCAGAAAUAUGGAGUGGAUGUGAUUGUGAUUGGCUUGUGAUUGGCUUCCCUUGUGAUUGGCUUCUGUUAUUUAGGGAGAUGUUUAAAAAGUCAUCCAUGCUGUCAUCUCUAUCAUGUCAUACAUUUCUGCUGCUGACUAGUAUUCCAUUAUAUAGAUAUACCACUUUAUGCUUAUCCAUUCAUUGGUAGCGUUUGAAUUCUUUCCCCUUUCUGCCUAUAUUGGAAAUGCUGCUGUGGAUACUUCAUCCCCUCCCACUUUUCUUUCCCAGUGCUGAGGACUGAACCUUGGACCAUGCACAGUGCUAUACAAGCCCUCCAUGCUGAACUAUAUCCUAGCCCCACCAAUACUAUGAAUAGUUUUGUUCAUGUUUUAUGUCAACAUACUUUUCCAUUUCUCUUUAGCGCAAUGGUUUUUAAGUGAUAAGUUUUAACUGCAUUUCUAUUUUUUCUUAUGAAUAAAGGGACUGUAUUUUAGCACUUAACUCAGGAAUGUCAUGUAUACAAUUUCAAGUCCCUUAAAUAUGGUAUCAUCCCUUUCCUUAAAUUCUACUGCUUCUUGGUAAUAGAUGAGGAGAGGCUGUCUCUUGGGGCGGAGUGGGAGCUGGCUAACUUGUGAUUCCUAGACUCAGGAGCAGAUGCCACAGAAUUUCUUUGGCUGUACCAAGUAUGGGCCUUGCCCACAGAAGGUUCACAACUUUUAGCCCAUCACAAUCUUCUUUCCAAGGGCUCUGUGUCCACAGACUGUAGAGAAGAAUGAAAACCAGUCAGAGUUAGAGACUUAGGGAAAUUUACAGGGAAGAGGCAGGUGGGGGGGAGGAGGGUCUGGGGGAAAGCUGAGAAGCAGCUUCUCUGACACAGGCCAGUGAGAGCUUCACUCUGUCCCUGGGCGUGAUGUGGAGGCAUCAUCCUGUGUGUCCUGUGGGCCUGCAAAG
rnacentral:lncRNA from 1 species